rnacentral:rRNA from 1 species
CCCUUAGAUGUUCUGGGCCGCACGCGCGCUACACUGACGGAGGCAGCGAGCGUGUCCUUCGCCGGCAGGUGCGGGCAAUCUUGCGAGUCUCCGUCGUGCUGGGGAUAGAUGGUUGCAAUUGUCGAUCUUGAACGAGGAAUUCCUAGUAAGCGCGAGUCAUCAGCUCGCGCUGAUUACGUCCCUGCCCUUUGUACACACCGCCCGUCGCUACUACAGAGGGCCCGUGUCCAAGAAACGGUCGGACCUGUGCGGCCUCUCCGGGCGACCGGAGGGCCGUUACGGGGAAGACCCUUUAUUUGACGCGGGUCGAUGAAGUAAAAGUCGUAACA